AAUCGCAGGUCGCGUGGUGGUCAUCUAGGGGACACGCGGUGGAUGGUAAUAGUGUUAUGAUGAGUGUUAGUUGUUUUGAAUAUGGUGAAUUGUAAUCGAAGGUUUUAUUGUGUGUAAAAAGUAUAGGAAUUUGUCUAAAAAACUUGUAGUUUGGAUAAGGGAAUAGUAACGUUUAAUAUGAUUGGGUUAGUUUGUGUAUCAUUUACAAAAAUUGUAAAUUAUUAGUAAA
rnacentral:lncRNA from 1 species